CUUUUCUACCUCUCUAUAUCUCAAACUGAAAUCCUCUCUCUCUCUCUCUCUCUCUUCGGUCUUUCCCUUUCACAAACCCUAACUUUACCAGCUAAAUCAUCCACUCCCACUUCAUUGCUUAACUUGAUGAAAUAACCCCUAUUUAUAUUUAUUUUCCCUUUAUUGAUGAAGCUUGAAGUUGUACGUGAACUAUUAGUUGAAGGCUUACAAACUGGGGACCGGUUGGAGCUUCUCAUUUAUCCAGCCAUAUAUUUGAAGUGGAUAAACACAGGGCAAAUUCCUUGCUUUGAAGGUGGGGAUCACUGGCCAAACAGUCAUGCUGAGAUUUCCCCAUGCCUUCGGUGGAAGCUCACAACUUUCGGUUGGAAAGUGGCUUCCAAUAGCUAGCUCUGCAAACAUAAUACUCUCUAGAUCAAAUGUAUCCUACCCACCUCCAUUAAGAGAAUGAAAAACAAAAUGAUAGAACAGCUUGAAGGGUGAAUUACUUCCUUCGGCCAAGAACAAUGCUUUGGGGAAAAUAUAAUAUAUCGCAAGAGCUUUGAUCUUGUUGUCUUCAGAUGGUUUGGUAUAAGACGAACAGUUCUUUCAUUUCUUAUUCAUAAUUUGUUUUGCAACAGAAAAAUCCUUGCCUAAAGUAGCAUAUGAUUUUGCAGUUGUUCCUAAAAUCUUUAAGGUCUCUUGCCUACAUAGUUUAAUGAAUUGUACCAAUUGGUAGCGCAAAUGAUAUGAGCAGGCAGCCUGCGUGCUUAGAGGAUUCGUACAAACACGAGAUGAGUUAAUGAGAGUGGAGAUGAAGGCUUGUUAGGAUGGAGAUAAAGGUUUAUUUGGAGCCGUUGAAUAGCUGGACAGAACUGCGCUUUUGAAUAUUUAGGCAGAUGUUGAAUAUCUGGAUACAUUCCAAUGUUUAAUGAUGAAGGCUUGUUAGGAUGGAGAAAAAGGUUUAUUUGGAGCCGUUGAAUAGCUGGACAGAACUGCGCUUUUGAAUAUUUAGGCAGAUGUUGAAUGUCUGGAUACAUUCGAAUGUUUAAUGUAUUUUUUGUCAUUAAGCUUUUGGCUAUUGUGCAAUCUUCUCCAAUGUGUAUUGUGGAUAUAUUGUGCAAUGUGAGAGCAAUCUAAUAUAAUGGCUAAUGAAGCUACUGAUAUAUUGUGUAUUGCUGAUA